rfam:Legionella israelensis strain Bercovier 4 Lisr_ctg090, whole genome shotgun sequence.
GGGCAAGAUAGGUGAAGUUAGCUAACCAGCAAGCUGGCUUUCAUACUUCACGAGUCUUAUUCUCACCUUCGGUGCUCAACGUUUUUAAUGUUAUUUUCAAUCUGGAG